rnacentral:rRNA from 1 species
UACGUAGGGGGCGAGCGUUGUCCGGAUUUAUUGGGCGUAAAGAGCGUGUAGGCGGCCAGGUAGGUCUGCUGUGAAAACUCGAGGCUCAACCUCGAGACGUCGGCGGAAACCAUCUGGCUAGAGUCCGGAAGAGGAGAGUGGAAUUCCUGGUGUAGCGGUGAAAUGCGCAGAUAUCAGGAGGAACACCAAUGGCGAAGGCAGCUCGCUGGGACGGUUACUGACGCUGAGACGCGAAAGCGUGGGGAGCAAACAGG